ACAAACACCCUAAACCUCUCAAAAACACUCCUAAACUCAGCUUGUUUUCAGCAUAAUUGUGCAGAAAGUUCCAGCCAUUCUAAGUGAGUUUUAACUCACUUCUUCUAUUCUCUUCUUAUUUAUUCUUCUAAAACACUUGGAUCACCUUUAGGAAGGUUUUCACAAGUUUGCUUGGGAAAACUAAGGUGAAACCUCACCAUUUUUUAGGUCCAAAGUGCACUUUAAAUUCUGCUUGUUUUUAUCUUUUUAUAUGUUCAUGUUCUUGCUAAAAACUUGGUGGAAUCUUGUUCCCACCAAGCUCACAACUUAGUCUAUGGUUGUGGGUUUAUGUUGAGGUGAUUUCCAUCAAAUUUUUGAGUUCAAACACUCAUUUAAAUUAUGUUUACACAUGGUAUUUGAAUGAUGAAAGCAAGCAUAAGUCAUCUCCUUCCAGAUGAUGAACUUGUGACUUGUGAAAUGUAAACAAAUGGAAGCUUUAGCUUUCCAAACUAAGUUCCACUCCUUCAUUUGAACCUUAUGUAUGAACACUCUUGUGACUUACUAGAAUCAAAGUACCUUAGCCCCGUCUAGCCUCCGACACUUAGGAUUACCUUUCCAUGUCGUGUUGGCACACCCGGAUUGUAGAGUACUUGGUCACUUGAGCUAUGUUAGAUAGAUUUAUUUCUUGUUAUUCAUGACCCUCCGAACCAUCCUUGUGAUGGUUUGUGUAGUGGUGAAUCAUAUAAUGAGGUUUUAACCUCCUUGCUUAACAUACAUGAUACUACAUGAUAAUCUAUGAUUGGACUUAGUUUUAGGAUGUUAUUAUUACUAUAUAAACUAUACGUAUUUAUAUAAAACAUGGCUGAAUUUGUGAUGACAAUCAAGUCAUGAUUGUUCGUCAUAAACUUAGCCUAAGAUAUCUAAGAUUCUAAGUUACUUGUUAUGAUUCACCACUUGAUAUGGUGUCAUAAACGAGCUCUUAGGACUAGGUAUUACUUUGGCAUACAUACUUUCGAUACUUAAUUUUCUAAAUCCCGAAUCUCAUCACUUCCUAAAAAUCAUGUAACCUUACCAUUAAAUCCUUAUUCUCCAACAACUCAUCACUCACGGAUAAUCAGAAAGCAUGUGCGAUAUUGUUUAUGAUGAUGUUGAUGAUGCAUAAAACUUAGUAGGAUGCCUAGAAACGCAUUUUUUAAACGUUAAUACUUGUUUUAUUGUAAUUUAUUUGUUCCAACUUGUUGUAUUUCCUUUUCAAACAAUGUAAUUUGAUUCUUUUAGUCAUGAAAUGAAAUUU
rnacentral:lncRNA from 1 species